GUUGUCAGUGCUCUGUCCAAUACGUCAAUUAGUUGUCGGAUAACGAAUUGUAUUUUAAAUUUCGCGCUAAUUUCACCCCACUUGACGUCACACCCGAUGCGUAUGCCUAUACCAUGUCUCCUUCUACCAUGGUUCAGACUAUAGUGACAGCAAUUAAUGAUGUUUUGCCUUUCCCGCCUUUUUGUAAUGACACUAGAGUUAGGGAUUUUUUCAGGCCAACUGUUUUUCGAAGUUGGCAGUCCUGAAUGUUCUUAUGCACCAAUACCGUAUGCUGGUUUUCUGUCUGUGCAUCUAUGGUUUCAUAACCUACAAAAAUUUCAAUCUGUUAGAUUUAUCACAGUGUAAUCAAACGGUUUUAGGCAAUCAAAAUGUUAAUAUUGAAGUCGGAAUCUUCAAAGAAAAAUGUUCACAACUGCACUCAAUGCCCCUAUUUUACAACGUCACGAUUUCUUUUAAUGAAUCACGUGCGACGACACCGAUCUAAGGAAAAAUUUACAUGUUCUAAUUCAAAAAUUGAAGUUUAUUACUGUAGAGACUGCCAUUUUCAAACGGAAUUAAUGGUUGUGUUCAAACAACACUUUAUUCAAUAUCACGGCCCUAAGAGAGAAUCUAGAGACAAUUUAUCAAGUGGGGACUUCAGCAUACAAAAUUACGUUUGCGAAAAUUGCGACUUUCGAACAAAUUUCUCACUAAAGUGGCUUCAGCACACUUCCGAAUGCACAGGGAAGAAACUAAUUCUUUCUCGACGUGUGAUUUACGUCAGAAAGAAACGAUACGCUUGUGACAAGUGUUCAUUUAAAAGUGCGGAUAAUGAAGGCUUAAGGAAUCACAUAAAUCGUGUCCAUUUAGAUGAACAAAGUGCUGAAUGGUACAAGUGUGAACAAUGCCCAUUUAAAACAAAAGUCAAAAGAAGUUUAAAAGGGCACAUAAAUCGCUUACACGUGAACGAACGAGACGUUAAAUGGCACCAGUGUAAAGAGUGUUCAUAUAAAACUAAAGCGAAGUCGGAUUUAAGAGUACAUAUAAUUCGGAAACACUUGGACGAAGAACAGAUAAGGUGGUACGAAUGUGAACAUUGCCCAUUCAAAACUAAACACUCAGAUAGUUUGAAAAAACAUGUAAUUGCGAAACAUGUGAACAAAAAAAAAGUGAAGUGGUACGACUGUGGAGAUUGCUCGUUCAAAGCUAAAACCAAAGUUAAUUUAAAAGAGCAUCGAAAGGUCCAUUUGGUGUCCAAAUCCAAAUCGCAUCAAUGCGAAAAUUGUCCAUAUAAAUCGAAUCGCCGGGGUAAUUUAAGGCGUCAUAUAAAUAGCUGCCAUUUGAAUGGAAUUGAAGCUAAAUGGUACGAAUGCGGGCAGUGUCCUUACAAAAGUAAAACUAAAUCAUGUUUAUAUAAACACAAAAAAAAACACGUGUCGGAUUUAGUUGAUGUGUGAUUGUAUUAAGUUGUAUGUAUAUAAUUAUAUUUGAAAUAAAAUUUCAAAUUGCGCUAGUUUGGAUUUGA